UGACACCAUGUCUGACUCAGUUAGACCUACUGCUUCCUGCAAAUGCUUAGCUUCGAUCUCAGCAACCUGAUGUGGCAUGUCGGGGUUUAACAGGCGGACUACACAGUAAGCAAAGCAUAGAUUAUUGCCAGAGUUUUCAGAAACGAUAAGACAUCUGAGCUUCUUUUGCAGAAUGUCAGACUUUAAAAGCUUUGUUAAUUUCUGUCAUUCGGCUGCCCCACCAUUUCGAUUAUGUACAAUUUGUACAACCAAUUCCAGCGUAUCAUCGCUGAAAACCUCGGCAUUGCUCUGUGAAAAGUUGUCUACCAUCGAUAGCAGAUCAUUUAGAUCGAUCUCGCCUCGAACAUGUAUAGCUGUGUUAUUGGUUACUGACGCCCCCUGCAGUUCCACCCCAGCCCCCGCUAAAGCUUUCACUCUGUCGACCAAAUUCUGGAAUGUCUGUAUCACAGCCCUGUAAACGUCUACUAUAUCAUCAUGCUGGAUUCUAUCAAAAUGAAAACGCUGCCUUAUUUCAGUGUUGUUAAACUGUGGUCUGCGUAUCACAUUAACAUUUGCAUCACCAUUAGCUACACCCCCACCUUGUUCUUGUACCCCAUUAUCAACAUCCAUAAUUUCUGGCUCCCCCGCCGCAGCUGCACCCACACCCCCGCCUUGUGGCGCCCCAUUAUCAACGUCUAUAAUUUCUGGUUCCACCUCUGCUGCCCCAUCAUCAUUUAAAUCAUUUAAUAAAUUUUGUAAGAUGGAGUUAAAUUCACCCGGGUUCUCGCCAUUCAACUCUGUUAGCAUUUGAUGCAGUUGAGAGUGCAUGGCCACACCGUCAUCUACAUCAGGCAUUUCAAUAUCUGUGUCCAGUCCGUUGUCGCACCUAACACCAGGCUCGGUCGCGUGCCCGUCCGCCAUUUCCACACCCUCCCGAAACCGUACAUCAAACAAAGAAUAUUGAUUGGUAAACCAGAUGACAAGUAUACCCCACCAAGCUGGGGGCUUAUUAAGGGGGCGAGCGCUAGGUCCACAUUAUCACUCACGUCAAGGAGCGAAAGAAGCGGACACUUCAUUUUCUGAUCUACGACAUAUCAACAUUGGAAAAUGGAACUCUCGAGGUAAGCUACAUUUUCAUUUAAAUGUAUUUUACAAUUGCUGUUAUAGAUUUUUUCUGCUGUGAAAAUAUAUUAUUGUUAUUUUGACCAAGAAUUUUCCAUGCUGUCAAGAUCCUGGCAACACUGUGAUACAGAGGAUUGGAAUAGCGUUGCAGCUAACGACGACGACACUGAACUGCGUGAACUGCUAUGCAUGCCAACGGUUAUUUUCAGAGAUAAUCGUGAAGGGCCCGGACCCCGGCAAGUUAGCCAUAAACGGAAAAGAGCGGAUAGUUUUAACGACACAGCUGAUGAUGAAUUGCUGGUCGCUGCGGCCGAAAAAAUUGAAGCAGAGCUACAGUAGCAACAGAAAGCGUGCAGGACCAGCCGACUGGACAACUGGAAUUUGAACCGUUGGACCAAGGAGGAUCUGCGUGCGGUGUUCCAGCGCUGUGGUCGCAAGAUACCGCCCCCUUAACAGCUUGGCAGCGGCCUGCUUUGAUUUCCCGGCCUGUAGAUGAUUCCCGAGAGGAGCGUUUGAAGGCGCUCAAACUAGCAUUCUUCCUUUUUCAGGAUCAGAUGUGUGAUUUUUUGGCGGAUCUGUCUGACCAGAUCUAAAGAAUAAUCAGGGGACAUGUCUGAACAGUUUUGAUGGGGCUGGGGGGUCUAGAAGGAUACAUGUAAAUGACGAUGACGAAGCAACGAUUAACCCUGAUCUGCAACAGCUGAUUGAUGAAAUGAAUGACGGACCGCAGGGUGAGGUUAACCCCCUUUUGCUUGCCAUGAUAAAUGAAUUAAACUCACCAAAUGACCAUGUGCCUAUAAAACAUCGGCGCUGGUUUAUGACAUUACAACAAAUGGAUAAUUGUCUUGUGAGCCGGUCUAUCCCGAGCCAGGCGUCAACAGGUGCGUGGCCCCCCGCUGUUUCACUGACCCUGCUGUGAACCCCUUUAGCAAAAAAGGAACAGUAGACAGCCCCACCUAGCGGUAUGUGCUGAGGCCGUACCACACCCAUGCUUCUAAAUUUAUGUUAAAAACACAUAGAUUCAUUCCCUAAAACUUAUCAUCUAGGCUGUUCACAUACAUUCUAUUAAACAUUGCAUUAAAACAGCACGUUCAUGUUAAAGAGAAUUAUUUCUAGUUUAAAACUAGUGGCAGGCCGUCUUUUAACCACCACCGCUUCUGGGGUAAUGUCGUACGCUAAUUUUAACAAGGAUUACCAGCGUUAUUGGUUGAUUCUUUUGUCAAAAUGUUUAUGGCGCUUUUACUUUAUUAUUCACAUUGGUUGAAAAGUGCUUCAUUACUUUAAAAAACGUCACGUUUAAGGGGACUUAUUUGAAAUAGCGUUCACUCCGUUUGUUGUUACCAUUUUGAAAUGGUUGUCUUAUGAAUCAUUAUUCUUUGUUUGAUGCAUGGUUUCGUGUAAAGAUCCGCGACUGUUUAUGACUACACCAUAUGUCUAAUAGCCUGGGAGCGGAUGAUUCUACCCCAUGUUUAAUGGCUUGUGAACAGAUGAUCAGUCUAUCUCAAAGCCAAUGCAAGGCGGGCAUUGAUUACAAAUCGACUUUUAUUUAUUUAAUUUAGAAAUAUAUUAUUUAUACUAUUUACAAAUAAGUCAGAUUAACAAAUAGAGUUAAUGCGCAUUCUUUCAGGAUGGUGGCGUGCUCACACAAUUAAGGGCCAUGGGCUUGCACUACACUAACAGGAAGACUAUUCCAAACUCUAACUACACACUGUGUAAAGAAGUGCUUUCUCAAAUCCAGUUUAAAAUGCUCUCCCACUAAUUUCCACCUAUGGCCACAAGUUAUAGCAUUUAACUAAUAUUGAAGUAGCCUUUUGGCUGGACAACAUCCAGACCUGUUAGAAUCUUAUAUACCUGGCUCAUGUCCCCCCUUAUUCUCCUUUGACACCUUCAAGCUGAGAAGCGCAUGUCUUUAGUGUCCAUCCAGGCACUCCGUCUGGGCCAGCAGCUUUGCUAGUGUAACAGACUGUUCAUGUUGGAUAGGUGUCUUACUGUGAAGGCAUGUUGUUAUGGGAUAGAGAAAGUGUAAGGAGAGGUUCCAGACUGAAAGCAGAUCUAGACAGAUGGACACCCCUAACCUUUAGUUUGUAUGACCGGAUAGAAAUUAUAAAGAUGAAUGUUUUACCGCGAUUAUUGUUUCUCUUUCAAUCAUUACCUGUAGAAAUACCAAAAAAACAAUUUAAUGACUGGAAUGAAAUGAUCUCGAGAUUUAUAUGGAAAAAUCAGAAACCUAGAGUAAGAUUUAAAACGCUGCAAUUACCAAAGGAAAAGGGAGGACUGUCUCUUCCCUGUUUGGAAGAUUAUUAUAAAGCAGCACAAUUAAAAUAUUUAGUUUGUUGGUGUAUUAGCGGUUAAGAUGCAAAAUGGAAAGAAUUAGAAUUUCACCAGCUAGACAUUCCUCUCCCUUCCUUAUUGGGGGACAAAAAUACUAAGAUUAUGUAUUCCAAUAAAUGAAGUAACUGGACAUUGGUCCCUCUUAACAUUUGGUUUAAAGAAUGUAAAACUCUUAAGCUGGAGAGCAUGUCUGCUAAGAUGGGUGGCAUACGAUAGAGACUUUAAACCUGCACAGACGGAUGUGCGGUUUAAACAAUGGAUAGGGAACGGUAUUACAGCAUAUUGUACAGUUUCUUCUGAGAUUGGUUUAGAAAGCUUCCAACAUCUCUCUGAUAUUUAUAAUUUAUGUGAGACAAGAUUUUUAUAGAUAUUUACAGCUUAGGAAUCACUUUAAUAAAAAUAUUAAAAGUAAGGAAGGAAUUGAAUUGAGUCUCAUUAAAGUUUUUGCUGAGGCAUAUAAAGGCGGUACUCACAAGAAAUUGGUAUCAAGAAUAUAUUCAAAUAUACAAUCCUCUAAGUCUCACUCUACCUUAUACGUUAAAGAAAAAUGGGAGAAGGAAGUGGACAUAAUUCUAAUGGAAGAAGACUGGCUAAACAUGUGUAAAUCACAGCAUGCUACCUCUAGCUCUGGUCGGUGGAGAGAAUUCUCAUGGAAAAACAUGAUUAGAUUUUUUAUUACUCCAAAAAGAAAACAUUUACAGAAUGGUAACCCAGAAACUGCUUUUUGCUGGAGACAAUGUAACAACACAAUGGCUGAUUAUUUUCAUAUAUUUUGGAGCUGUCCAGCAAUUCAAUCCUACUGGUUAAUGGUAAUCACUGAAAUUGAAUCAAUACUGGGUUUUGAGAUUGAUCAUAGCUUUGGUACCAUAUAUUUAGGAAACAUACCAACUGAAUUUCAUUCUCAAGACAAGUACCUCCUCAGAUUGUUAUUGGUCGCUAGUAAGAAAGCUAUAACUAAGAAAUGGCUGAACGAGAACCCACCAACAAAAGAAGAGUGGAUAGCGAUUGUAAAGGAUAUGUUUGAUAUGGAGAAAAUUACCUUUUCGUUAAGACUAAAUAUGGGUAAAUUUUAUAUGAACUGGUCAAAAUGGUUAAUACACCUAAAAAUAGAUCAUACAUAGAAAUGCUUUGUAGUGAAUAUGCUGUGGACUUUGACUGCAUACCUCUUUCCUUUUAUGUGUGUAGGGAGGGGGGCUAUUGGGAGAGUAACCCACUACUAUGAAAAUGACUAUAUUCUGUAGGAAGGAUACAAGAAUGGGAUGUCUCUGGUGACCUGUCGGUUCCUUUUUUUUUUGUUUUCUUUUUCCACUCUUUGUUUGUUUGUUGUAUUUCUAAGUUACAUUAAAAGAAAUAAAAUAAAAGUUUUUUUUAAAAAAAGGAGAGGUUCCAGGUUAUGACGAGGGAGAGACGGAGUUUGUAUGGCAAUAAAAAGACCGCGACUUGAGUUGAACAUUAA